rnacentral:lncRNA from 1 species
UACUGUCUUUUCGAGGUAGGAGUCGACUCCUGUGAGGUAUGGUGCUGGGUGCAGAUGCAGUGUGGCUCUGGAUAGCACCUUAUGGACAGUUGUGUCCCCAAGGAAGGAUGAGAAUAGCUACUGAAGUCCUAAAGAGCAAGCCUAACUCAAGCCAUUGGCACACAGGCAUUAGACAGAAAGCUGGAAGUUGAAAUGGUGGAGUCCAACUUGCCUGGACCAGCUUAAUGGUUCUGCUCCUGGUAACGUUUUUAUCCAUGGAUGACUUGCUUGGGUAUGGAGAGUCGGCUUGACUACACUGUGUGGAGCAAGUUUUAAAGAAGCAAAGGGUUUUUAAUGACCACAACAAGCAAGCAUGCAGCUUACUGCUUGAAAGGGUCUUGCCUCACCCAAGCUAGAGUGCAGUGGCCUUUGAAGCUUACUACAGCCUCAAACUUCUGGGCUCAAGUGAUCCUCAGCCUCCCAGUGGUCUUUGUAGACUGCCUGAUGGAGUCUCAUGGCACAAGAAGAUUAAAACAGUGUCUCCAAUUUUAAUAAAUUUUUGCAAUCCAUCUGGA